UAGGGAAUCUUCCGCAAUGGACGCAAGUCUGACGGAGCAACGCCGCGUGAGUGAAGAAGGAUUUAGGUUCGUAAAACUCUGUUGUUAGAGAAGAACAGCGCAUAGAGUAACUGUUAUGCGUGUGACGGUAUCUAACCAGAAAGGGACGGCUAACUACGUGCCAGCAGCCGCGGUAAUACGUAGGUCCCGAGCGUUGUCCGGAUUUAUUGGGCGUAAAGCGAGCGCAGGCGGUUAGAUAAGUCUGAAGUUAAAGGCAGUGGCUCAACCAUUGUAGGCUUUGGAAACUGUUUAGCUUGAGUGCAGAAGGGGGGAGUGGAAUUCCAUGUGUAGCGGUGAAAUGCGUAGAUAUAUGGAAGAACACCGGUGGCGAGAGCGGCUCUCUGGUCUGUAACUGACGCUGAGGCUCGAAAGCGUGGGGAGCGAACAGG
rnacentral:rRNA from 1 species